CCUACGGGUGGCUGCAGUGGGGAAUAUUGGACAAUGGGCGAAAGCCUGAUCCAGCCAUGCCGCGUGUGUGAAGAAGGCCUUCGGGUUGUAAAGCACUUUCAGUGGGGAAGAAAGCCUUGGGGCGAAUACCCUCGAGGAAGGACAUCACCCACAGAAGAAGCACCGGCUAACUCCGUGCCAGCAGCCGCGGUAAUACGGAGGGUGCGAGCGUUAAUCGGAAUUACUGGGCGUAAAGCGCGCGUAGGCGGUCUGAUAAGCCGGUUGUGAAAGCCCCGGGCUCAACCUGGGAACGGCAUCCGGAACUGUCAGGCUAGAGUGCAGGAGAGGAAGGUAGAAUUCCCGGUGUAGCGGUGAAAUGCGUAGAGAUCGGGAGGAAUACCAGUGGCGAAGGCGGCCUUCUGGACUGACACUGACGCUGAGGUGCGAAAGCGUGGGUAGCAAACAGGAUUAGAUACCCGGGUAUUC
rnacentral:rRNA from 1 species